rnacentral:lncRNA from 1 species
UGCGUCAAAUUAAAUGUUCUGUAUAUACUUGAUCUGUCACGUGACAAGAAAUGAAAACACUAUACACACACAUAGCACUUGUAGCUAGCUAGUGAGAAACUGAGGCGUUUUUGGGGAGCAUGAGCUAUGGCUCUUUGGGCAGUGGAGGAUUUGAGUUUUGAUUUAGGAGAGCAUAAACUACUAAUAAUUACUUACCAAAAAUAUACUUGUAGAUAGGUUUGGUGGGAUUCACACAUUAAAACCCAUAAAGUCGCUUGGAUGAAAUUUCAAUGCUAAAUUGGUGAUCGAAUCACUUUUGGAGCAAAUAGACAAUCUCAUAUUCUCAGUUGUAUGUCUUACUUCUUGUUUGAUUUGGUCAUCUACAAAUUUCAAUGCACCUAGCACCUCACCCUAGCUGCGAACUUUAAUUUGGAGAUGUUAAGUUAAAACAAGUGAUCAGUUCUUCAUUUGAUGGGGGGAAAUUAACGAGCUUACACAUGUAAAAAUACGAGUAGAUGAUACGGGUUUUAGAAUAUUAACGUAUGCAACCAAUAAACUAAUAAUGGAUGAAAGCGCGUUCCUGAGUUAGUCUCACCACUUUCAUGUUUUCUUAGGUUUUACAAUUAAGAAUUAUCAUGAUCAACUCAUGUACAACUAAUUCUAGCAUUUUUCCAUACAAAUAGAUGUAAACUGCUUGCAUGAAAGUUUAAAAGGGAGCGAUUAAUUGAUCACCACUUUUCACCUUUUGUUUACUCUUGUUAAUUAAUUAUAGUGUUUGAUUUUUUUUUAAUUUGUUUAAUCCAAUUGCUUUAAAUAUUAACAUAUACUACUGAUGGUAGACGAUGGAUGGAUCAAAUCUUUGCUUGUUUACUAUUAGGGAUAAUAGUUGUGGGCAUAUUAUGUUAAAAGUGGCAAAAAUCUUUUACAGUGGUGGACAAACUGAAGUUUCCUUAAACGGAUCGAAGGAAAAUCAAUAGUGUCAGUAAAGAGUAAUGAAUAAGGGCCAAGCUCAGAUCGGAUAACAAGGAACAUCUAGCGUUUAGCGUAGACGAAUCUUAAUGUCAUUUUCUCGUUCAAUACAUGAGUGUAGGUGCAUGGACUUAUUGCACCAUUAAUAGCUAAGUCUCCAUCCUUUACUGCUAAUUAGUGCACAUUGUACCAACUCACUAGAAAAAUAAAAAAUUAUAACGUUUCUGUAAGUUUUUUCGGCCUCCGAAAGAAUGAAAUGAGGUAGCAUCGUCACCAACCGAUGCCUUUUAAAAAAAAAAUAAAGAAAAACUAUAAAGCUUUGUUAAACUUUUUCAUGCACAAUUAAAACGAUAUAGAACCCAAAUCCACGAUUUCAACUUUUAACAAUUGAAGAUUAUAAAAAUAUAUAAUAUGGUUAAAAGUCAAAAGUGCAGCUUCUUAUCAACAGCCCGAAUUUCUUUACAAAUGUCAACAACCAUUUAAUAUUUAUGCAACAAUUAAUUAUUUGAUUAAAGCACUAAGCAGAAUUUGUGAGUUCACUAAUUCUUCAAUCAUCACAAGAGCAAAUAUAUCGAUCGACUUGUCUCUGACUUUUUGAAUACAUUAUAUGUCACACUAAAUGAAUGAGACAAAGCUUGAUUAAGUGUCAUAGUUGUAUCCAGAAAAGCAAAUGCAUGAUAUCGUCGGUUACCAAAGCCUCACUCUGCCAAUUGAGUUUUCAAAUAUUUCCUCAUCCAAACAGUUGAACGUAGAUGCUUCUCCAAAGCCUGACUUGUUCAAGAUUAUGUGCAGCCUUAGGGUUUCUACGAUUGAAUUUUGUAAAUUUAGCUUUACGCAAUUAUCUCUUGUGUAAUCAGUUUGUUUUACAAGAGUUUGAUUCAACCUCAAACUCUUCCUUGUAAACUCUCUAUAUUGAUGAAUAUACACAAGGAAAUAUAACCAGCCAAAUUAUAUUCGAACUCAAAGUUUAUUUACGUUAACUCACCACCAUGAAUGCCAAUGUCAUUAGUCACUUAACUAGAGGCAAAAGCUUCUUAUGGCACAUAACAUACAUUCCACGAAGAACAAAACGAGGGGACCCAAAAGCUUGUUUGGCAUGGCCUCCUACAACUGCGUAAGUUUAUUAUAAUGAUUCACAAUCUUAUUUGUUAUAUAUGGAAUAUAACAUUCAUUCCACCAUGCAAAUACA